CAGUAGCCACGGGAAUACGUAGGGUGCAAGCGUUGUCCGUAAUUAUUGGGCGUAAAGCGCGCGCAGGUGGUUUAAUAAGUCUGAUGUGAAAGCCCACGGCUCAACCGUGGAGGGUCAUUGGAAACUGUUAAACUUGAGUGCAGGAGAGAAAAGUGGAAUUCCUAGUGUAGCGGUGAAAUGCGUAGAGAUUAGGAGGAACACCAGUGGCGAAGGCGGCCUUUUGGCCUGUAACUGACACUGAGGCGCGAAAGCGUGGGGAGCAAACAGGAUUAGAUACCCCGGUAGUCCCUGUCUCUUAUAC
rnacentral:rRNA from 1 species